CCUACGGGAGGCAGCAGUGGGGAAUAUUGCACAAUGGGGGAAACCCUGAUGCAGCGACGCCGCGUGGGUGACGAAGUAUUUCGGUAUGUAAAGCCCUAUCAGCAGGGAAGCAGAUGCCAGUACCUGACUAAGAAGCCCCGGCUAACUACGUGCCAGCUGCCGUGGUACUACGUAGGGGGCCAGCGUUAUCCGGAUUUACUGGGUGUAAAGGGAGCGUAGGUGGCAUGGCAAGCCAGAAGGGAAAACCUGGGGUUUAACCCCGCGGAUAGCUUUUGGAACUGGCAGGCUGGAGUGCAGGAGGGGCAGGCGGAAUUCCUGGUGUAGCGGUGAAAGGCGUAGAUAUCAGGAGGAACACCGGUGGCGAAGGCGGCCUGCUGGACUGUAACUGACACUGAGGCUCGAAAGCGUGGGGAGCAAACAGGAUUAGAUACCCGUGUAGUC
rnacentral:rRNA from 1 species